rnacentral:rRNA from 1 species
GAUGAACGCUAGCGACAGGCUUAACACAUGCAAGUCGAGGGGCAGCAUAGAAGUAGCAAUACUUUGGUGGCGACCGGCGCACGGGUGAGUAACGCGUAUGCAACCUACCUAUCAGAGGGGAAUAACCCGGCGAAAGUCGGACUAAUACCGCAUAAAACAGGGGCACCGCAUGGUGAUAUUUGUUAAAGAAAUUCGCUGAUAGAUGGGCAUGCGUUCCAUUAGGUAGUUGGUGAGGUAACGGCUCACCAAGCCGACGAUGGAUAGGGGAACUGAGAGGUUGGUCCCCCACACUGGUACUGAGACACGGACCAGACUCCUACGGGAGGCAGCAGUGAGGAAUAUUGGUCAAUGGGCGAGAGCCUGAACCAGCCAAGUCGCGUGAAGGAAGAAGGAUCUAUGGUUCGUAAACUUCUUUUGCUGGGGAAUAAAGUGCAGGACGUGUCCUGUUUUGUAUGUACCCUGAGAAUAAGGAUCGGCUAACUCCGUGCCAGCCGCCGCGGUAA